AAGAGACAGAUUGAUGGAUGUUCUGACAGGACUAAAGUGUGCUGAAUGUGAUGGAGAAGUGCAUAUUCUAACAAUAGAAGCAGAGAUGUAUAAAAAUGGUCUUAAAAGAAAUGAAGCUCUCAUUAAGGAGAGACAAGCAAGAUUGAUGGAAAUAUGUGAAAGAGCCAAUUAUCUGGAAGGACAGGGCAAAGAACUUACUAAAUUUGAGGGACAGAAGAAAGAUGACAACUAAACAGUCAAGAAAUCGAGGGCAGACCUUGCCACCAUAACUGUGUACCAUUGAGCUUUUGUAUUCAGCUUUAGCUCAUGAAUAGUGCUUUGGGAAGUAGUUGUAGUUUUGUAAUUGUAAUAUUUUUCACUUUAGUAGUACAGACUUCUGGUAACUUAUAAAGGGAAAGUAUGCUCCAACUAUUUUUGCACACUUAGAUAUUACUCUGCAGUGGCCUGUACUUUGCAUAUGCUGCUCAUGAGUGACCUUGUAUCCCAAAUAUGGAAUAAUAGUGUGAUAUUUGUAGCUCCACAUACAUCAAUUAAUUUUGUAAAUUGAGUUAAUUUUAGUCAAGCAUCACUGAUUAAAUCAGUUCUAAUAAAAUAGUUUAAGAAAAUUGCUGUCAUGUGAGUCUGUGAUGUCACCGAGAACCUAUGAAUAACGUAGUGUAGUGGGAUAUUUGUGUGACAUAGGUUUUUAUAAUUAUAAUUUAAAUUCACUUGGUUUUAUAGCAAUCUACAACAGUACAACUUAGGUUUUUAUUGUAGUGUCUUACCGAACAAUUAUAGAGC